GAUGAACGCUGGCGGCGUGCCUAAUACAUGCAGGUCGAGCGAACGGACGAGAAGCUUGCUUCUCUGAUGUUAGCGGCGGACGGGUGAGUAACACGUGGAUAACCUACCUAUAAGACUGGGAUAACUUCGGGAAACCGGAGCUAAUACCGGAUAAUAUUUUGAACCGCAUGGUUCAAAAGUGAAAGACGGUCUUGCUGUCACUUAUAGAUGGAUCCGCGCUGCAUUAGCUAGUUGGUAAGGUAACGGCUUACCAAGGCAACGAUGCAUAGCCGACCUGAGAGGGUGAUCGGCCCCACGGGAACUGAGACACGGUCCAGACUCCUACGGGAGGCAGCAGUAGGGAAUCUUCCGCAAUGGGCGAAAGCCUGACGGAGCAACGCCGCGUGAGUGAUGAAGGUCUUCGGAUCGUAAAACUCUGUUAUUAGGGAAGAACAUAUGUGUAAGUAACUGUGCACAUCUUGACGGUACCUAAUCAGAAAGCCACGGCUAACUACGUG
rnacentral:rRNA from 1 species